AGAGUUUGAUCCUGGCUCAGGACGAACGCUGGCGGCGUGCUUAACACAUGCAAGUCGAACGGAAAGGCCCUUCGGGGUACUCGAGUGGCGAACGGGUGAGUAACACGUGGGUGAUCUGCCCUGCACUUUGGGAUAAGCCUGGGAAACUGGGUCUAAUACCGAAUAUGACCAUGCACUUCCUGGUGUGUGGUGGAAAGCUUUUGCGGUGUGGGAUGGGCCCGCGGCCUAUCAGCUUGUUGGUGGGGUAAUGGCCUACCAAGGCGACGACGGGUAGCCGGCCUGAGAGGGUGACCGGCCACACUGGGACUGAGAUACGGCCCAGACUCCUACGGGAGGCAGCAGUGGGGAAUAUUGCACAAUGGGCGCAAGCCUGAUGCAGCGACGCCGCGUGAGGGAUGACGGCCUUCGGGUUGUAAACCUCUUUCAGCACAGACGAAGCGCAAGUGACGGUAUGUGCAGAAGAAGGACCGGCCAACUACGUGCCAGCAGCCGCGGUAAUACGUAGGGUCCGAGCGUUGUCCGGAAUUACUGGGCGUAAAGAGCUCGUAGGUGGUUUGUCGCGUUGUUCGUGAAAACUCACAGCUUAACUGUGGGCGUGCGGGCGAUACGGGCAGACUUGAGUACUGCAGGGGAGACUGGAAUUCCUGGUGUAGCGGUGGAAUGCGUAGAUAUGUGGAGGAACACCAAUGGCGAAGGCAGCCCCCUGGGAUAACACUGACGCUCAUGCACGAAAGCGUGGGGAGCAAACAGGAUUAGAUACCCCGGUAGUCC
rnacentral:rRNA from 1 species